AAGGCAAGUAAUAAUAAUUGUUUCGACGC
rnacentral:sRNA from 1 species